rnacentral:rRNA from 1 species
UACGUAGGGUGCGAGCGUUAAUCGGAAUUACUGGGCGUAAAGCGUGCGCAGGCGGUUCGUUAUGUCCGAUGUGAAAGCCCCCGAGCUCAACUUGGGAAUGGCAUUGGAAACUGGCGGGCUGGAGUGUGGCAGAGGGGGGGUGGAAUUCCACGUGUAGCAGUGAAAUGCGUAGAGAUGUGGAGGAACACCGAUGGCGAAGGCAGCCUCCUGGGCCAGCACUGACGCUCAUGCACGAAAGCGUGGGGAGCAAACAGG